ACAGAUACAGUGUACUUACAUAUAAUAAAUAAAUAAAUAUUUAAAAAAAAGAAAAAGCCUUUGGGGCUUUGGAAAUACUUUGUAUUUAUGUGGUGAUGUUUACAAGCAUUUUUAUACAUCUGUCAAAACAAACCAAAAUAUUCAUUAAAAAUAGUUGCAUCUCUGGGGUCAAUAAGAUGGUAUAACAUGUAUAGAUUUACCACAAAGCUGGAUAACAUGAGUUCAAUACCUAGGUCCCUCAAGUUAUGACAAAACUGACUCUUGGAAGAUGUCCUCUGACCUACACAUAUGUACAGUAGUACAUGUCUCCAUGCUAGUGCAACACAGAGAAACCCUGUCUCAAAAAAUGUAUUUAAAAAGAAAUAAAUAUGUCAAAAAAUAGGGAUAAGAUAUAUAUCUGUGUUUAUAAACAGCAUGUAAAUUUAGUUCAUUUACAUGUUUUACUUUCAAACAGGCAGCCAUUAAUUCCAGAGAGUAAUGAAGUAUCACAUUGAAAUGGUCCUGUGUGUUAUAAACCAGUUGGUCUGCAUUAUGUCUUGGACAUGACUCUAGCUCCUAAAAUAGUAAAUUCUAAAAACGAAUGCUACCUCUAUGUGAACUCCUUUCUUCAGCUUCUCUUCUGGCUUAAUAUUAUUUAACCUUAUUUUAUUUUAUUUAUUUAUUUAUUUAUUUAUUUAUUUAUUUAUUUAUGCUAUUUUUUAAAUGUUUGGAUUGUUUCUAGUACAAGGUAAGGCUGUUUAAAAGUAAAUGAAAUAAACUUCUUUGAGCUUCCUUUUGCUACAGUAAAGGGGACAUGAAUUUACCUCAGCACCUUUACACAUAUUAUGGCAUUUUUACACAUACACAUAAAAAUGCUGGCCACUAGGAGACUUGGAAAUUCAGUGGAACUGAUUUCAGAAGGCAUCUCAUUACUAUGCUCUGCAGCAGAACACCUGUGGUAGCCUUCUGGGAUGUAGGGAUGUUCUCAUCUCCUGUGACUCCCACGGAUCUUCUUCUAAUAUCCCUCUCCCCACUCAUUGUUUUCACCCAGCCCCUCAACCCUAGCACUGGGAACGCAGCAGCUGAGCAGGCCAAGGAAAGCAGAAUGACCACAGAAUUGUGGCCACUGUAGAAGACAGCUAUGGGCACAAAAAUGAGGACAGUUCCCAGCAGUGCACUUUUCACCACAAGCCUCUUUAUCGCCAAAUUCUGCAACCAAUACCUGAAUGUUUCCCAUAUGUGACAUGGCAUUUAGUCAUUUCUGUUCUUUCGUGAAAAUGCUUCACUUCUGCUUAGACUCCAGAUCUAGGCUCAGCUUCUUCUUCCCACGUCUAAUCCUGAAAAAGGUCCAUACAGUCAGCUACAAAAAGAACCUGUGUUGUCAUCUGGAUGGUCUGGGCCACUGAAAUACCAUAAAGUCUGACUGGCUUUAUCAUGUAGUUUGGCCUGAGAAGUCUAUCACCCUGGAGUGAAUGAAGCCUUUGACAAUCAUCCUCUCUAAGGUUAGUGCCACUAUACUUGCCCACUCAUAGUUAUCAUUAGGCAAAAGAGUACUGAGAACCAACCAAGUAGCAAUUGAUGCAGAAAAAUUUAGUCCUAGUAUAUGAGAACUGGCCACAAGGUGUUCUAAAU